CAAUAGCGUAUAUUAAAGUUGUUGCAGUUAAAAAGCUCGUAGUUGGAUUUCUGGUGGGAGCGAUCGGUCUGGCGCUUAGCGCGAGUACUUGCAUCGUCCCCGGCCAUCCUUGGGGAGAGUCUGUCUGGCAUUAAGUUGUCGGGCAGAGGAUCCUCAUCGUUUACUGUGAAAAAAUUAGAGUGUUCAAAGCAGGCUUAUGCCGUUGAAUAUAUUAGCAUGGAAUAAUAAGAUAGGACUUUGGUACUAUUUUGUUGGUUUGCGCACCAAAGUAAUGAUUAAUAGGGACAGUUGGGGGUAUUCGUAUUCCGUUGUCAGAGGUGAAAUUCUUGGAUUUACGGAAGACGAACUACUGCGAAAGCAUUUACCAAGGAUGUUUUCAUUAA
rnacentral:rRNA from 1 species